ACGGGUGAGUAACGCGUAGAUAAUGUGCCCUCUUGCGGGGGAUACCGUUUCGAAAGGAACGUUAAUACCGCAUAAAGUCCCAGGGAGGCAUCUCCCAGGGACCAAACUUCCGGGGCGGGAGGAGCAAUCUGCGUACUAUCAGGUAGUUGGUGAGGUAACGGCUCACCAAGCCUACGACGGUUAACUGGUCUGAGAGGAUGAUCAGUCACACUGGAACUGAGACACGGUCCAGACUCCUACGGGAGGCAGCAGUGAGGAAUAUUGCGCAAUGGGCGAAAGCCUGACGCAGCGACGCCGCGUGGAGGAUGACGGAUUUCGGUCUGUAAACUCCUGUCAGUAGGGAAGAGAAUGGACGGUACCUACUGAGGAAGCUUCGGCUAACUACGUGCCAGCAGCCGCGGUAAGACGUAGGAAGCAAGCGUUGUCCGGAAUUACUGGGCGUAAAGAGCUCGUAGGCGGGAUCGUAAGUCUUAGAGUAAAUCUCACGGCUCAACCGUGGGGCCUUCUGAGAUACUGCGAUUCUUGAGGAUGUCAGAGGAAAGUGGAAUUCCCGGU
rnacentral:rRNA from 1 species